rnacentral:rRNA from 1 species
AGUGAACGCUGGCGGUAGGCCUAACACAUGCAAGUCGAACGGCAGCACAGUAAGAUCUUGCUCUUACGGGUGGCGAGUGGCGGACGGGUGAGGAAUACAUCGGAAUCUACUUUUUCUUGGGUGAUAACGUAGGGCAACUUACGCUAAUACCGCAUACGUCCUACGGGUUAAAGCAGUGGAUCUUCGGACCUUUCGCGAUUGUAUGAGCCGAUUUCGGAUUAGCUAGUUGGCGGGGUAAAGGCCCACCAAGGCGACGAUCCGUAGCUGGUCUGAGAGGAUGAUCAGCCACACUGGAACUGAGACACGGUCCAGACUCCUACGGGAGGCAGCAGUGGGGAAUAUUGGACAAUGGGCGCAAGCCUGAUCCAGCCAUACCGCGUGGGUGAAGAAGGCCUUCGGGUUGUAAAGCCCUUUUGUUGGGAAAGAAAAGAAGCAGGUUAAUACCCCGAUGUUCUGACGGUACCCAAAGAAUAAGCACCGGCUAACUUCGUG